CCCAGUAGUUUCAGAGGAGAAGAUUUUUGUAAAAGAUUACUAAGAUUUACGAAAAAUGGUUAAAAAUUGACUAUAAAGGGCAAUAACUCCUAAAGGGGUCAACUGACCAUUUUGGUCAUGUUGACUUAUUUGUAAAUCUUACUUUGCUGAACAUUUUAGCUGUUUACAGUUUAUCUCUAUCUAUAAUAAUAUUCAAGAAAAUAACCAAAAACAGCAAAAUUUCCUUAAAAUUACCAAUUCAAGGGCAGCAACCCAACAACAGGUUGUCUGAUUCAUCUGAAAAUUUCAGGGCAGAUAGAUCUUGACCUGAUAAACAAUUUUACCCCGUCAGAUUUGCUCUAAAUGCUUUGGUUUUUGAGUUAUAAGCCAAAAACUGCAUUUUACCCCUAUGUUCUAUUUUUAGCCAUGG
rnacentral:lncRNA from 1 species